UACGGGGGGAGCAAGCGGUUGUUCGGAUUUACUGGGCGUAAAGGGCGCGGUAGGCGGUCAGCACAAGUCAGUUGUGAAAUCUCCGGGCUUAACUCGGAAAGGUCAACUGAUACUGUGCGACUAGAGUGCAGAAGGGGCAACUGGAAUUCUCGGUGUAGCGGUGAAAAUGCGUAGAUAUCGAGAGGAACACCUGCGGCGAAGGCGGGUUGCUGGGCUGACACUGACGCUGAUGCGCGAAAGCCAGGGGAGGCGAACGGG
rnacentral:rRNA from 1 species